rnacentral:lncRNA from 1 species
GAUGCAGUGGAUAAGAGUUGAAACUAUAUGUGAAUGCUUUGUAUCCUACAGUUUAGUCUGAUUUUCUUUCCUUGUGUGAGUAAGUAUUGGUCAGUGACUAACAUAGGAUUUGAAAACGCACAUCCUAUUUCUGGGUCAGGUGCAAUAUAGUUUAAUUUUAGCCUGUGUUAAAUGUGGAGUUGCUUCCUUCUGUUUACAUCUGAGGACUUGAUGUGAUUUAGGUUUCCCAGAGAAACAUAGAUCUGUGGGAAGUAAAUCAUUGGUGUGAGAAAAGAACCCGCCCAGCCCAGCUGGCUUCAUGCUGUGAGUCUUAGGCCAGAGAGCACCUUGCACUCUGGAUUGGAAUUAUGCAGCUCCCAUUGGAACACCAACUAUCAAACUGCUAAAAUUAUUAAUCUGAGUGAUACUCUCACUUCUCUUAUAAAACUUUGUUUCUAUAUUUAUUAAAGCUUUUAGUUUAAUCUUUAAUAAUUAUAUCUACUAUAGCAUCUAGCAUAGUGCUUUUGCAUAUGGUUUAUGCUCAGUUAACCUAGGCAGGCUGUUGAAACAGUGAAUUAUUAAUUACUCAUUUUACUAGGCCUUUGUAUACCCAUUUUGUCAAUUAUAGCGUACCCAUUAAUGGACAUAUUAGAAGUGAACUGCCUAUUCAGAUUAUUGAUUUGUUUCAAUUCUACUAUAAAUACUUAAAUGCCUAGCAUGAGAUUAUAUAAAAUAUCUAAGUAUCUAAGUACUAGGAUUUUAAAACCAAAAAAUUGAUUUAUAAUCUGAUACAAAAAUGACAAUACAAUUUCUAAGUAUGUUUUUCCAUAUAUAUGAAGAUCUUAGAAUAUAUCCAGUAGGUAAUAUGAAGUGUUGCUUUUCUUAAUAACUUCAGUUGUGAUUUUAUACUAGGAGAAAUAAGGGAGUGAGUGGUUUUG